rnacentral:rRNA from 1 species
GAUGAACGCUGGCGGCGUGCCUAAUACAUGCAAGUCGAGCGAACUGAUUAGAAGCUUGCUUCUAUGACGUUAGCGGCGGACGGGUGAGUAACACGUGGGCAACCUGCCUGUAAGACUGGGAUAACUUCGGGAAACCGAAGCUAAUACCGGAUAGGAUCUUCUCCUUCAUGGGAGAUGAUUGAAAGAUGGUUUCGGCUAUCACUUACAGAUGGGCCCGCGGUGCAUUAGCUAGUUGGUGAGGUAACGGCUCACCAAGGCAACGAUGCAUAGCCGACCUGAGAGGGUGAUCGGCCACACUGGGACUGAGUCACGGCCCAGACUCCUACGGGAGGCAGCAGUAGGGAAUCUUCCGCAAUGGACGAAAGUCUGACGGAGCAACGCCGCGUGAGUGAUGAAGGCUUUCGGGUCGUAAAACUCUGUUGUUAGGGAAGAACAAGUACUGGAGUAACUGCCGGUACCUUGACGGUACCUGACCAGAAAGCCACGGCUAACUACGUGCCAGCAGCCGCCGUAAGAC